UACGUAGGGGGCGAGCGUUAUCCGGAAUUAUUGGGCGUAAAGGGUUCGCAGGCGGCCUUGUAAGUCAGAUGUGAAAGACAGCGGCUUAACCGUUGUAAGCAUUUGAAACUGCAGGGCUUGAGUACAGAAGAGGAGAGUGGAAUUCCACGUGUAGCGGUGAAAUGCGUAGAGAUGUGGAGGAACACCAGUGGCGAAGGCGACUCUCUGGUCUGUAACUGACGCUGAGGUGCGAAAGCGUGGGUAGCAAACAGGAUUAGAUACCCGU
rnacentral:rRNA from 1 species